rnacentral:rRNA from 1 species
UAGGGAAUUUUUUCGGGCAAUGGGGGGCGCAAGCCUGACCCAGCAACGCCGCGUGAGGGAAGAAGGUUUUCGGAUUGUAAACCUCUGUCGCAGAAGACGAAGGAAGUGACGGUAUUCUGUGAGGAAGCCCCGGCUAACUACGUGCCAGCAGCCGCGGUAAUACGUAGGGGGGCGAGCGUUGUCCGGAAUUACUGGGCGUAAAGGGAGCGUAGGCGGUCUGAUAAGUUGGAUGUGAAAUACCCGGGCUUAACUUGGGGGGUGCAUCCAAUACUGUUGGACUAGAGUACAGGAGAGGAAAGCGGAAUUCCUAGUGUAGCGGUGAAAUGCAUAGAUAUUAGGAGGAACAUCGGUGGCGAAGGCGGCUUUCUGGACUGCAACUGACGCUGAGGCUG